UACGAAGGGGGCUAGCGUUGCUCGGAAUUACUGGGCGUAAAGCGCACGUAGGCGGCUUUCUAAGUCGGGGGUGAAAUCCUGGAGCUCAACUCCAGAACUGCCUUCGAUACUGAAGGGCUUGAGUCCGGAAGAGGGUGGUGGAAUUCCCAGUGUAGCGGUGAAAUGCGUAGAUAUUGGGAGGAACACCGGUGGCGAAGGCGGCCACCUGGGCCGGAACUGACGCUGAGGCGCGAAAGCGUGGGGAGCAAACGGG
rnacentral:rRNA from 1 species